CCUUAUCAGUGUCUGCGAAUUUGACCACCAGACUGGACGAGGCACCCUAGGGAGGCAUGUAUAUUUACAAGGUAUCACACGUCGACGCAGCAGGAGGCAUGAACAUGGUUUAGGCUAUGCAGAAGACCAUCUCUGAAUGGGCAACACCUCGACCCUUGAAGCAAAUGGGCUACAGCAGCAGAAGACCAUAUCAGGUGCCACUCCUGUCAGCUAACAACAGGAAAGUGAGGCUACAAUUCACACAGGCUCACCAAAACUGGACAGUAGAAGGAAAAGCGUUGCCUUGUCUGAUGAGUCCUGAUUUCUGCUGCCACAUUCAGAUGGUAGGGUCAAUUUGGCUUAAACUACAUGAAAGCAUGGAUCCAUCCUGCCUUGUAUCAACAGUUCAGGCAGGUGGUGGUGGUGUAAUGGUGUGGGAGAUAUUUAUUUGGCACACUUUGGACCCCUUAGUACCAACUGAGCACAAUUUAAACACCACAGCCUACCUGUGUAUUGUUGCUGACCGUGUCCAUCCCUUUAUGACCGCAGUGUACCCAUCUUGUGAUGGCUACUUCCAGCAGGAUAACACACCAUAUCA